UGCUGGGGGCAGAAGGGUAUUGAGCAAGAGUUCCUGUCCAGCAAACCCUCGGAGCUGGAAUUCCUGGCUUGGAAGGAAGUAUAUUGCUGUAGGCAGCUAGCUCCUUUCUAAGCCGAGUGCUCAGCUUACAGCAGGUGUGCCUUUCUCCACCCCACGGCCAUCCACACCGUCCCUUUCUCCAGUGUCUGAGGGCAACCCACAGAGGCUGGCGUUUCUCUUCUUAGGGAGGAUUUAAAAACACACGAUGGCCAGUUGCGUAAUCUGAACUCUUUUCAGCCUAUCGUCGGUGAAGAACAUUUUGAAGAGUCUCUUACAUCACACGUCCGCAUUCUGAGAGGCGGGACUUCCUACCUGGCACUCCAGCCACGUAAGCCUCCCGGUACUGUCAGACUUGAGUGGUACCCGGUAGGCCAGAGCAUGCGUGAUUUGGCUGGGGUCCACCCUCACACCUCGCUGUAGAUCCUUCUGACAUGGUGUCUCAUGGGACCUUAAGGUGAUGGGUGUAAAUGUGAAUGCUUGGAAUGGUGAUGGGCGUCACAACCUGUUGCACCCUGUGCCGCCACUGGCGUAACUGAGGAGGAGAGAGCCCGCGUCGCUUGGUUUAGUUGCUCUUUGGUAACUUUUUUCAGCGUGGAGGCCUUCUUCUGGGUGUCAGCCUGCUGUGGUGGUUGGGAUGAGAAUGAACCCCGUAUACUCCUACAGUUCUACGCUUGCUCUCCAGUCGGCAGAACUACUGGGGGGAUCAGGAAGCACAGCCUCGUUGGAGGAGGUGUCUCACUGGGAGUGGGCUUUGAGGUUGAGAAAGAGCACACCGUUUCCGGUUAGCUUUUUGUCUCAGCGGCCCUCAGCUGCUGUUCCAAGGUUAUGCCAGCCUGGCUGCCGCAGCGUUCUCUGCCAUGAUGGUCAAGGACUCUUAUCUUCUGGAGCCGUGAGCCCCACAUUAAAUGCUUUCUUUUCUAAGUUGCUUUGGUCAUGAUGUUUUGUCAUGGCAAUAGAAAAGUUACUAAGGCACCUGUGCUAUAAAACUUCACACAUGAGGCUCACUUUCAGACAUUUAUAUACCUCCUGUAUAGACAGUCCCCCAUCUGUCUCUUCUUAUGCUCUGAACACCUGGCCAAGCCAUCUGUUACUCCAUGAUUUUUCUAUUCUCGGGACUCUUGCAUUCUCCAGAAGGGGAUAAGCAGGUGCACUAUCUGAAGCUCCGUCCACUGGGAAAACAUGUCCCUCUCAGCUGCUAGAGAGAGUGUAACGUGUACAUGCCAUCCCGUCUGUACCUCCGUCUGCUGCCAACCAACCUGUGAACCAAGCUCGGUCUCCAUCCAUUUUCAUCAGAUUGUCACCCGGGAUGUUCCACGCCGCUCCACAGCUCUGGGUGUGAGCCGAGGGAGAGAUGCUGACACAAGAAUGAUAUGCAGCUGGGGCCUGGGGCCUUGCUCUGUGCUUGUUUCCUCCUUCUGUCCCUGCUUGCGCUUCACUCUGGAUGCUCUAACUUUGACCUGCCUCAUUGCCUCUGGGCUUCCAUGACUCACAGCUGGCAUCCUAACAAGAAAACACUGCAGAGUGGCAGGCAGGCAGGCACAAGAAGAGGUGGAAACAAGAACAUUUUUUUCCAGGCAGAGGACAGAGACAGGGCCCCCAAGGUAAGGGAUGGGACGGGGGGGAUCCAUGAUAGAAGAGGGGAUUCGGAGAUAGGACAGACUGGGGCUAACUCACGGAGCGUACAUGUACACAGUGGGGAUUCAGGAUAAGCUCCUGAUGGAGUGACGGGAUGCCAUUGAAGGUUGUUAGGCAGGAGGAUAACACGCAUGUGCAUGCCUAUGUUUGUGUGCGGUAUGUAUGAAGAUGUGUAUCCGUAAGUCCACACAACACUUUGGCUUCGAGGUGGAGAACAAUUUGGAAGGGAAGUAAGAAUGAAUGCAAGACGAACAGGGGGACAUUGUUGCAAUAGUCAGGGGCAAAUGAAGGCGGCUUGCAGUGACAGCAGCUGAAGAAACGGUGAGAGAUCAUUUAAGAACGGUUUCUGUGGUGGGACUGACAGGCUGUGGCGCCUGCAUAGAUGUGUUCACAAGUUGACGGUUCUGGGAUCAGUCUCCAUUUCUGGCCAAGCAACCAAGAAAUGGUUAUACUUACUAGGAGAUCUGUUUGGGACACAGGAGGUCUGGGGAGGGGGGUCUGAGACAUCCAAGUUACAAUCAAAAACAAGACUUGGAGCAAGUGGUGGCGUGUGCCUGUGGCCCCAGCUCUCAGGGGCUGAAGAAUCACCGUGAGCUUUUGGUCUGGUCUGUAUAAUGAGUUCCAGGCUAUAAAGACUGUCUGCUCGAACAAGAUGUAGAGUCAAAGCCUCAGGGACAGAAUCAGCUCUAACUGUGCAAUCCCAGCCAUUAGCCAGCCACAGGGUGGUGAGAAAGAAGGACCAACAAGCCCUCGGGGACCUUACCCUUGUAGGGAUGGGCUGCAGAGGAGUUAGCAAAGGGUCGAAAGGGAGGCAGCAGCCAAGGAGAAAGCAAAGAGAGCUCUCCCUGCCUUUCUACCCUGUCCUCUCACCAUCAGACAAGACAGGCUUCAGCGAGACCCUUUAAAAUGGAACAUGUUUCACGCUACUUCUAUGUUCUGCAUUCAUUCAGAUUAAAAGGUCAGGCCUCUGCCCCGAGCAAGGCUCCACAGACUGCCAGUCGCCAUUUCCUCCAGCUUUCUGUGUCUCUCCACAGGUACUUUGAGAAAUGUCGAGGAUAAACAUCUACAGACUUAUAAAUUUAUCCUUUUAGGGUAUGUACUGGUUAGUGUUUGUCAUAUCGACACAAGCUAGCGUCAUCUGCUAAGAGGAAACCUCAAUCGAGGAAUUGCCUUUUGUCAGACUGGCCUGUGGGCAAGACUGUAGGGCAUUUUCUGAUUGUUGCUUGAUGUAGAAGGGCCCAGCCUGCGGUGGCAGUGCCAUCUCUGGGCUGGUGGUCUCAGUCCUAUAAGAAGGCAGGCUGAGCAAGCCACGGCCUCCCUCCACGGUUUCUGCCUUUGCUGCCGUCUGAGUUCUUUCCCCCCUACUGCCCUUACAGAUCCACUGUGAUUGAGAUGUGUAAGUCAAAUAGACCUCUCUUUGUGGUUUAUCACUCUAACAGAAGGCGAACUAGAACAAGGUACAGGACUAGGUUGCUUUUCGCACAGAAACCGCCAUCAAUGAACCACAUCAACACACCACAUGCUGUGCCACGUGCCAGUCCCUCUGCGCCCUCGGCCCCUAGCAACCUCUUACCCACUUCAUCUUUGAGACUAUCAAUUUGAGACCUUGUAUUCACGGAACUUAUUUGUACUUUUUGUGAAUUUUCUUUUAUUCCUAUAUUUUCAACAUUCACGUGCUGUGGUGUCUGUUAGCACUUGUCCUUGAAGUACUUGAAAAUAUCCUUGAAGGACGAAAUGAAUUCCCUUUUGUGAACAUACUGCAUAUUAUUUAUUAAACUAUCUUUCAGGCAUUGUGGACAAUGAUCUGAGUGUUUGCGUGUAGAUAUUUCUGUGAAAAAUGUUUUAAUAAUCACAUGGAAAUUCUGCGUAACUUUUUACCUGCCCAACUGUCUGCAGUGGGGGCACUGUGCACACGCCUCCAGAAAUGGAUGGGAGCACCAGUUUCUCCUUAUCGUUUUAACACCCUCCACUGUCCACUAUUUCAAUUACAGCUGCCGGUGUCUGUGGAUGGUGUCUCACUACAGCGUUAACCUACAGCUCUCACGGACAAACAAGGCGGAGCAUCUUCUGUGCUGAUUGGUCAUUUAAACAUCUUUGCCUGUUCACUUUAUUGACCAUUAAAGAAAAAACUGAACAGUCA